rnacentral:rRNA from 1 species
AUGAACGCUGGCGGCGUGCCUAAAACAUGCAAGUCGAGCGAACAGACGAGGAGCUUGCUCCUCUGACGUUAGCGGCGGACGGGUGAGUAACACGUGGAUAACCUACCUAUAAGACUGGGAUAACUUCGGGAAACCGGAGCUAAUACCGGAUAAUAUAUUGAACCGCAUGGUUCAAUAGUGAAAGACGGUUUUGCUGUCACUUAUAGAUGGAUCCGCGCCGCAUUAGCUAGUUGGUAAGGUAACGGCUUACCAAGGCAACGAUGCGUAGCCGACCUGAGAGGGUGAUCGGCCACACUGGAACUGAGACACGGUCCAGACUCCUACGGGAGGCAGCAGUAGGGAAUCUUCCGCAAUGGGCGAAAGCCUGACGGAGCAACGCCGCGUGAGUGAUGAAGGUCUUCGGAUCGUAAAACUCUGUUAUUAGGGAAGAACAAAUGUGUAAGUAACUAUGCACGUCUUGACGGUACCUAAUCAGAAAGCCACGGCUAACUACGUG